AGGAUAAACGCUGGCGGCGUGCCUAACACAUGCAAGUCGAACGUCUCUUCUUUCGGGAAGAGGAGUGGCGGACGGGUGAGGAACACGUGGGAACCUGCCCUUUAGUGAGGAAUACCGGCGAGAAAUCGCCGACAAGACCGCAUAGCCCUCUUUGAUGAGAGUCAAAGAAGGAAAGCUUCGCAAGAGGCGCUAGAGGAGGGGCCUGCGUCCGAUUAGCUAGUUGGUGGGGUAAGAGCCUACCAAGGCGUCGAUCGGUAGC
rnacentral:rRNA from 1 species